CACUGCACCUACAAUAACGAAUGGAGUGGUUACUGGUAAUGCACCAGUAUUCAAUGUAACCUGCAAUGCUAACUUCGGCAUAGUGGGUAAUCCUACCGUGACAUGUACAAGUGUAUCCACGACAACAACAGUCCCGACCUGUGAACCUAUUGUCUGCAAGACCUUGCCUACAAUCAACAAUGGCGGAGCAACAGCCAGCAGCAUGACAAAGUAUGGUGUACUACACGUCCACUGCAACACCGGCUAUGUGCUGUUGGGAAUGGCAACUUCGAAAUGCCUGUCUACUGGCUCCUGGGAAACGCCAAUUGCUAGCUGUCGCGAGAUCACAUGCAAUGUUGCACUGACAGCACCAGCAAAUGGUGCUGUCACUGCCCGUACUGAUACAUUUUCAUCAGUGCGUCAGUACAGUUGCAAUGAA